rnacentral:rRNA from 1 species
GACGAACGCUGGCGGCGUGCCUAAUACAUGCAAGUCGAACGCUUUUUCUUUCACCGGAGCUUGCUCCACCGAAAGAAAAAGAGUGGCGAACGGGUGAGUAACACGUGGGUAACCUGCACAUCAGAAGGGGAUAACACUUGGAAACAGGUGCUAAUACCGAAUAACACUAUUUUCCGCAUGGAAGAAAGUUGAAAGGCGCUUUUGCGUCACUGAUGGAUGGACCCGCGGUGCAUUAGCUAGUUGGUGAGGUAACGGCUCACCACGGCAGCGAUGCAUAGCCGACCUGAGAGGGAGAUCGGCCACACUGGGACUGAGACACGGCCCAGACUCCUACGGGAGGCAGCAGUAGGGAAUCUUCGGCAAUGGACGAAAGUCUGACCGAGCAACGCCGCGUGAGUGAAGAAGGUUUUCGGAUCGUAAAACUCUGUUGUUAGAGAAGAACAAGGAUGAGAGUAGAACGUUCAUCCCUUGACGGUAUCUAACCAGAAAGCCACGGCUAACUACGUGCCAGCCGCCGCCGUAA